rnacentral:lncRNA from 1 species
CGGCGAGGAGCCUACCAUGCGCUUCCCCGUGCGGAUGGGGAGAGCCCGGCCACGGGCGAGCUGGACCCGGCUCUGAUCAUUUAUGAUCCUGGGCGCCUCCGCUCCGCCACUUGUCAAGGUGACAGGGUGGGCACUCCAGGUCAGCGGAGUCACCCGAGGAGGCUGGCCUCUCGGGCGAGGCUGAAAGCGCCAGUGACCUGGGCGCGCUGCGCGGGGCUCCGCACCCCGGGACCCCGGGAGCCCCGACCCGGCGGCGGCGGCGGAGCAGCCCCGGGACCUCCCCCCCCCCCCCCCNCACCGGCGGGGGGACGGCUCCUGGAGGGAGGCCUCUAAAGGCUCCGCACCCCGCAUCCUCCCACCCCCACGCAGAUGAGCAGCCCCACGCAGCCCCGGCCUCCACUUUGCGGUGGGAGGGAAAGGAAAGUUUACUGCUCUCCGCAGGAUCACUGCCGCUUUCUACCCACUUAAGUUCCCUGCAACACCCUCGCUCCCGACUCCCCAGCGCCGGGCUCCCGGGCCUGCGGGAAGCCCGCCCGGGGCAGAGGCAGCUCCGGCAGCGGGGCGCUCUGGACACCCGGUCCGCGACCUUGGCGCAGCCGCUCCCGGACCUUCGCCCCCUGGAACCUGCUCCGCACCCACCGCAGCGGGGCUGGGGCGAGCGCGCUCGCGGCGCCCUCCCGGAGCCCUAGCCCCCC